rnacentral:sRNA from 1 species
UGAGAAUGUACAGUAGAACUUUGCUGCA